CUCUCACCCUUCCGGCGGUCUCUUUUCAUGAACUUGCUUUCAUGGAUGAUGUUUAAUCUUUUUGCCGUCAAUUUUCUCGAUUUGGAGCGUUUCCCCGCGGAUCAGGGCUGAUUCGGAUAUUUUCUGCCGGGAAAAAUUAGUUAUUUGGCCUUCUUGAAUGAUUGCGAUCUGGGCCCAGUUGUAUGGUGUUAGGUUUUUCAGCUUCGGCUGGGGAGGGAAAUUUAUGAGAUUGGCAGGUGUUGCGAUGCAUAUUCGUGAAUGUCCUCGAUCUGGUCCAAGAUUAUGCCUUUGUAUUAAUUGAUUGGAUCUGCUCUGGUGGUGCAGCAUGGUGUACUAAGUAGCAUGGUAUAUAUACCGGGUUUUGUGCAUAGUUGUAACUCACUAACUGUAUGGCCGUACACAUUGUUGCUAAUCCACAGGGGUUUUUGUGCCUUUGCAUGCCUACUUUAUUACUUUUUGCUAAUAUGACAUGCUUAAAAUUGUAAGCUAAUGAUAUUACCUUUCUACAUGAAGUUAAUGAAUGUAUUUUUAUGCAUGUUGGAAAAAAUUAUCUGUAAUUUUAUCUUACAAUAAGUUUUUCCUUCUAAAAGUAAGUUUUUUCCAUUAUGUUUGUCGCUGGUGUUUGCAUGGGUGAAAAGGUUUAGGAUUUGUUGAUUGUGCUCCUCUUGUGCUUUCACUGUGUUUAAAAAAGAAAACAACAAUCUUAUCUGGAGUGGUGAUAUACUGCUAAAGUGAAGGCAUAUAUAAAACAAGUUGGAUGCCAUAUAGUUAAACAACAGAUAAUUCAAGGCAGGAUAGAAGAGAAGUAAAAUACAAGAACCACAAUUACUAGAGAUAAAUAACUAAUUUACAGGCUAAAUGAACUAUAAAUGAUGUUAUGUGACUUUAUGAUUACUCAACUCAGCUACACCUUAAUUCCAAACUAGUUGGGGUCCACUACCAUGCAAUAAGGAAAAUUUAUUCCCCUUAAUUACCUUUUUGCCCCUGUUCACUCUUUCAUCUAACCAAAGAAGGAGGGCAAUUUUGUCUUUGUGAUAAAAUCCAAAUCCCCCAUGAAAUUCAGUGGAUUGUAUCCACUCUGCGACCAUCCCUUCAAACAAACACCAAAUUCCUCCUAUUCUGUGGUAUAAUUCUAUUCCUCUGCAUCCAAAAUAUAAGCCACAAAAUUUUAUUUUGCCACCCAAACACAGCCUGAAGGUUAAAGAAGAAACACCUACAUGAAUUAGGACAUAAAUCAUUUGGAUGCAUGAAUGAAAAAUGAAUAGUUAAGCAGUUAUUUAUUAAAAAAAACAUGCAUACUGGAUACACAUCUAAAAACUAGAAAUUGACAAAAAGUUACCCUGCCUGUUAGGAAGCCCUACUUUCUAGAGUCCACCGGUCAUGUUUCACAGUCCAAGAUCUCUCUUCAUUGUCUUCCAAAAAACAGAACUUUUCCAUAAAUUCCAAAUUAUCCAGCAAUUGGUUCUAAACUUUUCCUUGAUUCUCUCUCAACUGCUUAGGCUAUUUCCUUUUCACCAAAUUAUUUUUAACAUUUCCACCAAAAAUGCUACUCAUCUUCCAUUGAUUUCCACUCAGCCACUCUUCAUGAAAUGCUGAACUAUUGGGCUUGCUAUCCAGUCAAGGACCCAAGUUUCUUAUUUUUGCAAUAUGAGAGGAGUUUCCUAAGAGCACUAGCCUCAUGAACUUCUUGUUCCAGGUUAGCUGUUGAAGUCCAUGCUUGAAUCCUUGAUAGGCAAGAAGUCAUAGAUGGAAUUCAUAGUGUAACCUUCCGGGCCUUUGCUCUGAACACCCUUAUCUUUUUAUUGCUUUCAAAUUGUAUAUUCUUCCUAUCGAAGUUAAGAUUGUAAUUGUUUCCACUAUUCUUUCUUUAUUUUAUCAUAUUCUUAAUGCAGGUUAGAGUUCUUUGUGACAAGGCUAAGGAAAUUUUGAUAGAAGAAAGCAAUGUCCAGGUAAGUUAUAUGUUUUUCUCCUUUGCUAGAUUUUAUUACUUCUUGCUGUAGUUGUUUACAAAUAUAUGAUAGUGAACUGAAUCUUGAACAUAACAGUCACUGGAGUGCUGUCUUUGCCCUUUUCCUUUUGCAUGAAGUAUGUAGUAAUUGUGGCAAAAUAGAUGAGACACGAUUAUGGAAUUAAAGAUGAAGAUUGAGCAAAUGUUAAAUUCAGUUAUAAUUUCUCACGUUAGUGUGCUAUUGCCCAUAGAUAUUGGCAUCCUUUUAUUAGUUCAUAAAUUUUAAUGGCAUUAUUUUUGCUCUGGUGGAGCUUCUCUAUUUGAGAUUAAAUAAUAUAACUUCUUUGUUGUAGUUUGUAGAACGAAGUGACAAUUAUAAUCUUCUUGAGUGUUCUUAAUGAAAUUAAACUAUGUUUUCAGAAGAGUAAUAUAGCUUUUUACAAAUGUUACACAAUGACUGCAUAACAAGACUUGAGUUUGUUGUGAGACCAAUCUAAAAUAUUUCAAUAUAAUUUAUAUCCUUGUAGUCUUUUACAUGAUACUUUUAGGUCCUUUUUGCAUGACCUUUUGUUAUCCUGUGAAGUUCAAUCUACAUGCUUUGAGCUUAUCAUAUUUUAACUAGAUAGGAUCCAAACAGGUUGACUUGAUCCUAAAAUAUCAUGUUAUUUCAAGAGAAAAACACUGGAUCUAUAAAGGGAGCUAAUAUAAAUAAUGCUGAAAUCAUUAAUCAUCUAAAUUGAGAGACAAAUUAGGAAAGCUCUUAAGAAUAUGUUUAGACACUAUGCUGGUUGUUGUUUUUCUUUCAUCUCUAACAAUCAAUGAACUAUAUAACCUUCACGUACUAUUAAGCCAUUUAUGUUUUCAAAACAAACUUAGUGGUUAUGUAAAUUAUUCUGGAUGGAGGUUUACAGUAAUGUUGAUUUUUAAGUCAUUGCAUAAUAGAGUAAUUCUCCUAAUGCUAUCAUUAUGCAACACCUUGAAAUAGUUUGUGCCACUUUUCUCCCAAAAAUCAAAUUGAUCUUAUUUAAGAAUUUAGAUAAUGGUAUGCAUCGGCCCAGGCUUAUGUAUUGUAUCUUGUGUGAUGGUUCAUGGUAGUUAGCUUCGACCAAGGUAUACCAUACUGUACCGAACUAAAUGGUAUAGGGCAUAUUGCAUCGUACUGGUUCGGUACCGAUACGCGGUAUGGGAGCGUAUUGACACUCGAUGUGCCAAACCGGCCCCUGUACUGGGCAUAUUGGCACAAUAACUAGGUGGCACUAAUAUGAGUUUUGGUACCGAAAUGGCGUAUCUUGUCUUGGACCAUAUAUACAUGUACUAACAUCCAUUUCCUAAAACGAAUCUUUGCACAUGAUUAGGUUUGCACUAGCAUGACAAACAGUAUGAUACUAUAGCAUGUUGACCGAUGUCUACUGUGGGUACAAACCAUGAUAUUUAGUUCAAUAUUGGUAACUAGAAUGCUGACUUCAAGGAGUUGAUGAAAAUAUAUGAAUAUAGUUCACAUCAAGGUUUCAAAUCUCAAUUGGUUCUUACCUAUUGACCCUAUGUGGCUCGUUCAUCCACAUGGGGGUAUCAUCCAGUUUAACAAAUUAUGAGUUGAUGCAAAGGCGUACUGCAUCGUGUAUGUACUGGUAUGUGAAUGGUAGAGGGGGUUUACUGCUGUAUUUGAAACAUUGGUUUGUCGCUUGCUUAUGAUCAAGUAAAGAUGAAAAACAUAGGUCUACUGUGUAAACUAACUUGUGCUUGUAUAGUAUAUCAUUUUGGAUCCUUCCACAUUAUCAAAGUAGUUAUAGUGAUUUGCAACCAAGAUAACAUAGGUCAACCGGAAGUUAUAAACCAAGUUGAGUUUGUAUAGUAUAUGGUUUUGGAUUCUUCCAUAGUAUCCAAGUUGUUGUAGUGAUCUGCAACCAAGAUAAUUAUAGGAUACUCCAUUUACUCUCAAUGAUGUGCGUGGAUGUUGUGGCUAUAGUAAUUGAUAUUAAUCCUACAUAAUGUAAUGGUUGCAUGGAGUCCCUAGAUUAGUUGAUGGAGCACCCCCAACAUACGUAUCUUCAAUUUUGUCGCCCUUAUUUUUUUUUGCUUCACCAUCUUGGUCAUGACUAUCUAUGGUUUGCCGAAUCGGGCUGUACCGCCCGGUUCAGGUAGUAUCGAACCGAUCCAGUGCAAAAUCGGGUCGGUUCACUAAUUGAAUUCGGUUCCGGCCCCUACAGAUCGGAACCACAAAGGGACCGGCCGAAACCAGUCCUUUACCGGUCGGUUCCGACCGGUUCGAUGUCGACUCGACCCGAUUUUAGAUAUCAGUAUGUAUGUUAGAUUUUAAAAGUAUGUAACUGAUUGUAUUUUGAUUUGAGAAUAUUUUAUGUUGUUCAUUUUAUGAUUUGUAUCAUUUUAAAGCAAUAAGAUGCGUUAUUUAGGUUAAAAUAGGAUCAGAGAAACAUCAAAAAAAUAUCAUAUUAGACUUAAAUUCAUAAAAAAGUUCGAAAAGAGUGAGAACUGUAAAAAAAAUUAGGGUGUGCCGGUACCAGUCUGGGAACCGGCACACCCUACUGGUCGGUCGAUUUGGUUCGGCUCGAACCAUAUCAGGCGCCGACCGGUAUGGGUUCUGGUACCAGUUCGGCAGACCUUGUGACUACCAUGAAGCUGAUCAACAUAUUUAUCAUAGUUGUUAUCAUGCUCAUCCUUUAUGUCGUUUGUUUAAUUUCAGGUCUCAAAACUUGGUCAUUGUCUUUUGGAUCGUUGAUUGUUUCUCCUUGCCUAAGUAAUUGGCAUAACUUAAUGCAAGAAGGUCUAGAUAGCAGUGCCAAUGCUACGAGUGAAGAAAUGGCAUCUUGUGACCCUAUUUCGUACCUCCAGCUAAUCUUGUUUUGUAUUCAGUAGGAUGGCUGAGAAGCAAAAAUGUUUAUGCUGUUCUUGAUAAGCAUGUAAUGGUAAAUGGAGUAACAAUUUUCUCAGGAGAAGGGAGAAACAAGAGAAGGGAGCAAUGGCAAAAAAGGAAGAAGGGUUUAUAAAGAAGAAGAAUAGAAAAAGAGAAAUAAGAGGAAAAGGUAAGGGAAGAAGAGGGAAAAUAGCGGGUGAGAAUCAAAGGAAGAGAUUUUAGUGAACAUCAUCAUAAUAAAUUCUCAUGAUUCCCUUCGACAUAGUGUGGAUGUGGACAUCGUGUAGAAAAAGACUAGCUUUUUGUGAAGAUAAAGAGACGAGGGGUUCCUAAAAUGAAAGAAAAGAAUAAGGCAUGAUUUGAGACGAGGAAGGCAAUAUAUAUAGAACUACCAUAAUAAAGUUACACCCAUGAAUCUUAAAAUCUUCAAAUAUUUAUCUACACAUCCUUUCUUAUGUGACUAAACAAAUCCUCAAUUAUUUAAGUUCUAUAGGACUUUUGAUCCUGACUUAAGAUCUAAUCACAAGUCAUACAAAAUGCUAUAAGCUAUAAGCUGAAACCUUUAACCAAAAUGUUAUGGAAAAAAUGAAACAAAUCUGUCUGUGAAUUACAUCUGCAACUUUUAACUAGUGUAUGACCCUUAGGCAUUAGAAUUUGGUAAUGUUUGAAAAGCUCCACCUAGGCACCGGCCUAGGGAGGUCACCUAGGUGCUUCCCUAGGAGGGGUUACUCAAUAGCGAAGGUGUCAACUUUAAUUUUUGCAUCAACUUUGGGCAAGGGGACUGAGGUCGAUUUAAGAAAUUGUAUGGAAUAUUGCCAAGUCGGUACUUUCCAUUGACUUGAUAUAUUUUAAUUGGCAUGUUAUGCUUCAUUUUUUAGAUACACGACUAUUUUUUUCUUUUACAUAUCUUUUGUUUAUAUUAGUAUUUUCAAUGAAUUUUGUUGGCAUUAUCUUGGCCUCUGGUUGCCUAUCUAGGCACCUGCCUAGCGCCUGUGUGCUAGGCAGCCCAUUUUCCGCCUCUGUUGAAUACAAUCCUGCCUAGCACCUAGGUGCCAGGCAGCCCACUUGUCACCUCUGCUGGCUACAAAAAAACAUUGGAGUUUGGCUAGUUAUCAUGAAAUAUCGCACAUAGGUCUUGAGUAGAUAUUUUCAAAGAGUCUGAGAUUGUUCAAAUUCAAUGACUAGACAGACAAGAUUAUCUUGUGGAAGCUUGAUGAUUUAUUUUUUUACUACAAUACCCCUCAGUUUGCCCAUGGAUGACCCAAAGCUUUGUGCCACAUCAGUUAUUACUCUAACCAGCUUUUUAACUUUGCUGACACCAUCAGCAUAUGAUCAUCAUCAAUAUAGAUAUCAGAAGGCCCUGAAUGACCUACUAGUUCUCAAAAAAAAAGGACUCCCAAUUCAUUAUAGUCUAACAUCCCAUCUUAAGUAAUAGAACAUACAAAUAUGUACACUCCUAUAUACAUGUGUAUGCACAGAUGCAUGAAAUUGGGUAGCCGUGUUUGCUUUACUAUCCUUGUGUGCACGUUGUAAUACCUGGGCCCAAAAAUCAACUGGGCCUAAUACUACUUUUUGGGCCUAUAUUUGAGCAUUUGGGCCAUGACAUCAAAUAGGCUAACUGGGCCCAUGAUUGGCAGCCCAUUUGAUGGCUGUCACCUCAUGCUAUGUGCAUGGAAGUGACUAGGGCCAGGUGGGAAUCAGAGGAGGGCCCUGCUCUUAGACCCUCCACGGGGGGGAAGCUGGGGGUGACUUGACAGCUCACCCCAGCUAAAGCGGUUACCACCACUUAAGGACCCUACUUCUAGCCCUUACCGUUCUUCUCCUCCUCCUUGAGGGAGCCCUUGAACCAGCGGGAGCAAGGACUGUUGCAGUUCAUUCCCGGAGCCCGGUAAGCCCCGAAUCAUGUUAUUUUCCUACUUUCAUCUCCCCUGUUUUCAAAACAAAACAGAGUAGAAACUCCACGGCUCUCGGCCGCAGCCGUUACUGGCUCUCGGGUGGGGGCGGCAGUCAGGCCGGAGUCCCGUUUCCCUCCUUAUCUUCAGUGGGGCAGAGGACCUUAGUGAGGAGAAGAAGGGAAACGGAAAGAAAAGGAGGAAAGAAAGAAAGGAAGAAGAAAAAGGAGAGAGGGAAGAGGAGACUCACCCGUGUGCGGCCGCGAGCAUCGCCGGCGCCGUGGGUCCCUGCUGCGGGCUCUUCCUCUCCCGAGUUCUCUCUCUCUUCUCUAUGGGAGGGAGAGAGGGUCGGCCACCAUGGGCCGCGGCCGCUGCAGGCGCUACAGGCGUCGCCGGCCGGCCUUAAGUUGGCCCCCCUCCUGAGCCCCGGCAUGGGGUCGCCCCCUUUAUGGUCACGGAAGAAGAGAGGGAAAGCGGAGAAGAAGGGAGGAAAGAAAAGAAGAAGGCAAGAAAAAAAGAAAGAAAAGAAAGAAAAGAAAGAAAAGAAAGAGAGAAGAAAAGAGGAAAAGGGGACUCACCGGUGUGACGUCGCGUGCGGCGGCUGCCGGCUUCGGCUGCGAACGCCGCCGACGCGGGCAUCGGCCGCAGGCCGGUCGAGGAUGCGGGUGUCGAGCGUCGGCCGCAGGCAUGGCCGAGGACGCCGCGAGCCCGGCCAUGGGCGCAGCCGGCCGUGGCCCGUCCUCUCCCGAGCUCGCUUUCCUCCCUUAGCGUGAGAAGAAAGGGGGAAGGAAAAGAGGGAUCGAGAGAGAAGGAAGGAAAGAGAGGAGGAGGAGAGGAAACUUCGGGAAGAAGAAAAGAAACAGAGAAGAAAAGAAAAAGGAAAGAAAAAGAAAAGAAGGAAAAAGAAAAGAAAAAGAAAAGAAGAAAAAAAAGAAAGAAGAAAAGAAAAGAAAAAAGAAAAGAAAAGAAAAGAAAAGAAAAGAAAUGAAUAACCCUUAACGGAUCCGGUCUAACGGGUUGGAUCUAGGCUGUUGGGUCUAAGACCCAUUAAAACUGAAACAGGUUUUGGAUGGGUUUUAAAGUUAAUUGGAUUCGAGCCCAAUCAGUUUGGGCUGAAUCAAAGUGAACCCGUUAGGCCCAAAUAAAAGAAAAGAAAAGCAAAGUUUAGCCAAAUUUGACUAAACCCGAGCCCAAUCAGAUUGGGCUAAGUCUGGACGAGUCCACACUAUAAAUUGGGUUAAAUCCGAACCAAAUUAAGUUAAAUUGAAUUGGGUCCGAACCCAAUUAAGCUGAGUUGAUCUCGGCGGACCUAAUUGAUUAUGAAUCAGGCCCAAUUCAAGCUCAAUUCAACUGACAGAAGGUCAAAUUGACCUUAGGCUAAUUCUGACUCAGGCCCAAAUGAUCCACAUUGACCAAAUCAGGAAACCCAAUUGGCUAGAAAAGGCUGGACCCAAUCAUGAACCAGGCCCAAUCCUUUAAUUAAAAACCCAAUUAACCCAUGUGGAUCCAAUCUGGUUUUAAAUCGAACCCCAAAGGCUUCAAAUUGGGUAAAUUGGACUUGGGCUAAAUUCUUGGAUGGGAUCCAAGCAAGUAAGUUCAUAGUAUAUUGAACUAAGAAAUUAUAUAAAAAUAAUUAGGGAAUAAUGUGAUCCCUAUGAUGUUGUUUUAGGUGAUUAAGGAUUUGUCACCUGGACUUGAGAAAUUUGGAAAGCGAAUUGAUGUAAGUAACAUGUCCUAAUCUUCUAUGGAUCACACAUGUAAGUAACCUGUUCUAAUCCUAUUUUGGAUCAUGUCAUGUUUAUUAAUAGUUCCUAAGUGUUAUUCAAGUAUAUACUUCAUGUAUGAUAUGUUAUGAAAAGUAAGUGACUUGCCUUAAUCUUUUAUGGAUCAUGUUAUGUUACAUGAAUUAUCAAUGUAUAAGUUAUUUGUAUGCAAGUAGCCUGCUCUUUAAUCUUAAUAUGGAUCAUGUGAGCAUCAUGUUUAUUAAGAUCUUCUAAGUAUUGUUCAUAUACAUACUUUAUGUGUAGCAUACUAUGAAAAGUAAGUAACAUGCCUGAUCUCAUAAAUUAUGGCUAUGCAUGCAUCAUGAUUAUGCUGGUUUUUAAAUAUCAUGCAUGCAAGUUAAUAUAGCAAAUUGCAUCUAGCUAAGGGUACGAUUGUAGGAGGUAUUGUGGGCCCUUGAUGCUAUGGGCUGAAUGCAACUGAGCCGGCCUUGCCAAUGGCCGAGAAUGACUGAGCCGGCCCCGCCAGUGGCUGAUAAAAAAUUGAGCUGGCCCCACCAGUGACCGUUAAUGAAUUCGCCCUAGCAUCCAAGAGGUACUAUUAAUGGGCUUAAAGAUGCUACUGAUCGAAUGCAACUGAGCUGGCCUUGCCAGUGGCCGAGAAUGACUGAGCCGGCCCCGCCAGUGGCUGAUAAAAAACUGAGCUGGCCCCGCCAGUGGCCGAUAAUGACUUCGCAGUAGCAUCUGAGAGUAUGGACAACGGCAUGCCGGGGGUAUGGUUUUUAUAUAUAUAUUCUUAUGAAUAAUUCUUGUUGACAUAAAGCACUAAUUUGUUCACCUAAUAUGAAUAUUUUAUCAUGAUGAAUUGUUAGACAGUAUACAUGUCAGCUUCUCAAACCCUGUUUAAACAUGUUUAGCAUAUUAAUUGAUCCGAUAAGAUUAUGCAAGAUUACUUACUGAGCCGUGUAGCUCAUAUCCGUUUAUUUAUAUUUUCUUUCAGAUCCUCAACAGUGAUCGCCAUCAGGAGCGUUUUUCUUUUGUAACAGGGCUUCUUUAUUUUUGGGAAGAAUACAUAAACUAUAUAGAAGUUCUGUAUUUUGUAUCAACCAGCAGGUUGUAAUGCAAGCAAUUUAAUACAUGAAAGUUUGAUUUCUUUUAGCUACCUGUUACCCUUGUAUGAGGCUUCGUGCUAUUGUGGGCGGUAGUCGGCAAUAGCAUGGCCGUGUCACGGAUCCGGAUCCGAGGCGUGACACACGCAAUCUGAUUUGUUGACAUAUAAAAUUAUGUGCACUUGUUUUUUUAAAAAAAUGUGGUUAAAUCUUUUAUUCUUUGCUAAAAAUGCUUUAGAUGCGUGAUACUUUGUAGAAUGUUUUAGAUGUGUGAUGCUUUAUAGUAUUGAUUAUGUCAUGACUGAAGGUGGAACAAUGGACAAAAUGAGAAAAAUUUUGUUUGUUUAACCAUUCAUGUCCUCUACAGAAGAACAGAAGUAUGAACUGAUGUGUUAGAUUACAAUAUUAUAAUGGAGUCAAAUAUAUCCAAUCAUCAAUAUAUAUUGACAUCUCUUUUAUAUUCAUUUUUUCAUGCUUAACUCGAUUGUCAUUUCCUACUGAUCUUAUCUUUGGGAACUGCUAUAGUGUAUUGUUAACUUAGCAUUAAUACUGCAUGUGAAUUUCUUUUAUAUACACUAUUUUAGUAUUUUCUGUUAUUUUGAAGUUCAAAAUUUGAACUGUUUGGGUGAACAUUAUUUGUAUGCAUUGAUAUUUCAGAGUAUAUGCAAAGCUUGUUAUAACAAAUCAAGAUGAAAUCUAAUGACUCAAAAAAUUAUAUCUUUGACUAUGUAGAUAUGCGAAAGAUAGAUUAUGGUACAUGUUGAGAUUAAGCUAUUUUUCUUCCCUGUUUUGCAGCCUGUGAAAAGCCCUGUGACAAUAUGUGGUGACAUUCAUGGGCAAUUUCAUGAUCUUGCAGAGCUAUUUCGGAUUGGUGGAAAGGUAUUUUCCUGAAAGAUGACUUUUUCUCUCUGUUUUUUUUUUGUUUGUUUUUAUGUCAUCUGACAAAGUUUUUCAAGAAAAUGAAUAUUAAAGAUAAAUAGAGUUGAUAUGUUGUAAUCAUUGCAAUUCCUUAUGAAAUUCUCAUUAUUCAGAAGUAGUUACAUAUUUGACAAUUUGCUCGAGAAUCCCGUGUUUAUUUUCAUUAGGGAUAAUAAAUAUCAAAACAAUUGGUUCUUAGAUGUGAAUUUAGGGCCUCUUUGGAUGCUGGCACAAGUUAUGUGGAUCAUAGGUUUUUCACAGCAGGAAAGGGUGGGGAAAAGAAUCUGGUUUGAAGGAGAAGUUAGUUGAUGAAUGGAAUCCUUAACAGAGUCCUUUAUACUUAUUAUCUAUUUUUUCUGGGAUAAUUAAAUUACCUUUUGAGCAGAAUGCAUUGGCUUAUUAAUUUGGGCAUUGUGGGAUCUGUGGUUUCUUCCGAUCCCCAAGAUUACCCCAGAUUAUUGCCUUUCGUUGCUUCUCUCCAUUGCCUCACUGGGGGGAAGCUAUCAGUGGAUACAGUAAUCGGUCAUCAAAACAGGGCCUGAAUGGUUUGCUCAUAUCAAGAUGAUAUAAAUUAACCACUAAGCAUAAAAGAAAUAGAUAAUGUCCAGCAGGUACCAGCACCAAACAAAGAGAACAACAGUCUGAAUAAUUAAAAUGUACAGUUUGAUGAGAACAUUGAUUGCCACUAUCAACUGUUUGCACGUUUUAAUCUGCUGUUUCUUACCCUGCCAAAUAGCCUCACAACUCUUCUAUGUUUAUUGGGAUAGCACAGGUUGGAUGUUUCUUCUUUUAAUUCUUUAUAGACCACUUAAGCUUGUUGACAUCUAAUUUUAGUGACUCGUAAUGCUGCAGGGAUCGUUCUUUACUAAUCAGUGUUGCAGUUAGCUAAUAAAGCUGAUGAUUAUAUUAAGCUGGUGUUUGCCAAGUUAUUUUUUGCUAUUUAAUAUUUCUUAAUUAAUGGCUCAAACAACUUGCCUGUUGUUUUAACAUAGUAUGCUUGUUUUCGUGUCUUUAUAUCCAGAAAUUGAAUGCUUUUCAUGCAUAUUGCCAAAACUGAAUCUUAUGAAUGUAGUAUUUUUGUUUGCUAGUGUCCGGAUACCAAUUACUUGUUUAUGGGAGAUUAUGUAGAUCGUGGGUAUUACUCUGUUGAAACUGUUACGGUAAGAGUUUGGCCUAAGCUUUCAUGUAUUUCUGCUUUAGUAUUUUUCUUCUGUUAACUGGUGCAUUGUUCAUUUCAUUUACAAUUUUUGUCCAACAGCAUGUAUUGGACUAUGAUGACCUUAUUGGCUGUAACCUCUGCUUUUUAAGGAAAUAAAUUUAGUGUUUCUGUAUCCUUUUUAGAUCUUUCUGUAUUUUAUUUGGGUGACAUGAGUGAUUGAAUAUUUUGAUAUUCACCAUGCAUUACAUUUUAUAAUUCCACUCCCCCACUUUUUUACAUGGAGAUGAUAGAUUCAUCCCAUAGUUUUCUUUAAAUGAUUGUGAACCUAAGACCGAAUUGAAUAUUUUGAUAUUUACCAUAAUUCCACUCCCCCACUUUUUUACAUGGAGAUGAUAGAUUCAUGCCAUAGUUUUCUUUAAAUGAUUGUGAACCUAAGACUGAACCUCCACCUUCUUUAUUCAGAAUAGGAAUCUGCAUGAGUGAUUGUCACGCCCUUGACCCGAGGUUGCGAGCCGGGGGUCGUGGCAAUCGCCACAUACUCAUAGGAAACUCUUCCCACGAGCUUGCAAGGCAUCUCGAUGUGAAAUCAUAAUCAAGCAGCAGAAUAAAUUUAAAUAAUUAACAUUCAAUCUUUAAUUUAAAUAACUAAUCAAAACUACGUCACACAAAACCAGCAAAAUUCUAAAGUCUUGCGUCAACUCUAAUGAAAUCUAAUCUAAAUAAAGAUAUCAAAAUCUUCAAAGUUGUUGCAUCAAAGUUUCAAAUAUCAAUAGAGUAGGACUGUAUAAAUUGCACCGUACUGUUCUGGCAAGCUUACGGUGCCGGUACAUAGUGCCUCAGUAUGAGACUUAAUCCCAUACCAUAUGUUGGUAUCUGGUACUGCACCAUUCUAGCAAAAAUUAGUCCAAGGUCUAGUACCAGUAUUUGUAACCUUGUGUCGCAUCAUGUAUUCUGUCCUUUGAUUGAUUGUUAAGUCUUUGAUUACAAUGAUUUAAAUCAUCAUUUGCAUAUAGAUUAUAUGUUUUUUUUGACUGUUGGUUGAUUAGCCCAUUUUCUUGUUGAUAGCUGGACCAUAUUUUGGAUGAAUGCUCUUGUUAUCAGUUGCAAUAAUAUGCUUACUUUCAGACAUGCAAUACUUAAGGUUCUGAUCUAUUUUUUUCAGAAUAUUUUGCUUCUCUCUCUUCUUUGAAUAUAGACUAGCAUGCAUGUCAGCUGGUCAUUGUUUUGAAUGUUGCACCAAUUUAAGUCAGAUAAGGCAGGCAUCUUGUAACAAUUUGUAGACUAGUUAAAUAGUAGUGAAAGAUCGGGAAGAAAAAGCCCUACAUAGAAGGCAUAAGUUUAGAUAAAUUUGUUUCAUGAAUUUUAUAAUAUCUUGGUUAGAGUAAUAUGAUGAUAUUUCCCUGGUUUCAGUGCAAUCAUCUUGUGUCAUUAAAUUGCAUUUUUAUUAGUUUAGGCUCAUAGAAUUUGGUAUAAUUUGCAUGCAUGCUCAUAAAAUUGACUCAUGUAUGGCUAGCUUUUGGUGGCCCUGAAGGUGCGUUACCCUCAACGCAUUACUAUCCUUAGGGGAAACCACGAGAGUCGUCAGGUACGUUAUUGACAUUGUUUUUUUUAAUGUAAUUUAGAUUCAGUUGAUUUUUUGAAUAUUAAAUAAAGUUAAUGUAACUGACUAAUUAUAAGUUCAAAAUUGAUAUCUAUUUGGAAAAUGUUGAACUAAUGAUCUUUUUGUUUUUAAUUAAAUUGCAGAUUACACAAGUUUAUGGAUUUUAUGAUGAGUGUUUACGAAAGUGAGUUCCUUGUUUGCAUAGUUUAUUAUUCACCAAUCUUGAUUUCAUAUAUGCCAUUCGUUGCCUAUUGGUAUGUGAAAUUGAUAUUGCAGAAUAUCCUCAAACAUCAUAAUAUGGUGCAAUUAUUAGUUUCUAUCUCAAUUGAUUCACUAGAUUAGUUGUACAUUUGAGGCACUAGGCAAAUGUCUGAUGUGAACCUUAAGGUAGAUCUUGUUGCAUGUAUGGGAAGUUCUCUAGAAGAUUUUUGAAAAUGGAGCACCAGAAAGGUGAAAAAUCUAGUUUGAUAUUUUGCAUGGUGGAAUUUUUUAAAAGUGAUGGAAGUGACUGUGAAUUAUGGUCCAGCAGGGCCAUGGUCUACGAUGGUGACUGUACAUGAGUUUAGUCAACCAUGGCCAACUUUUGGCAAACAUGAUUGUGAAAGUCCAAACGUGAUCACUGUCUCAUGGCCAUAGAUAACUUUCAAACUUUGUAAACACAUGACUUGUUGAAAGCAAGGAUUAAAUUUGAAUUUGAGUGACAUUAGUUCAGUAAUUCUGAACAUCAUGACGUGGGUCAAUAAAAUAACAGAUGUGAGUUCUGGUUUAAUCUUCAUGCAACCAAAGAGACUGUUGGCAGUUUCUCUCAAUUCUAGUGAUAAAAUACUCUUCUACAAUCUGAGCUUUUACUGAUUCAUGAUGUAUUCACCUAUGUUACCAUUUUUUCAAUAACCCUGCAUGACACGUAGCAGAUGCCAUAUUAGUUUUGAUUGCAUGUCAUUUUUCUUCUAAUUUAGUUUUCUGUUUCUUUUCUUUUUCCUUUUGCAUGAAGUUCUCUGUUCUAAAUGGGUAUUAUUUUUGAUAUUGUUGGAGAUUGUGUUCGGGUUGUUUUUGUUUUGGGGGGCAAGAGCUUGUCCAAUUAGUUAACAAACUGAGUUUCAGGUGGAGACCAGAGCUCAAAAUAGUUUCCUGCCAACCUUGAGAAUUGUGUAGCUUGUGUUUUGCUUGAUUUAGCUUGCUCUAUAAAAUAUACAGAUAUAUCAUUAUCAUAAGUUGCCUAUUUGUAAAUUAUUGUUGUUUUAUUCUUGUUGUAGAUUGUGUUUGGUUUGAUUUCUCGCUUUAUAUGAACUUGUGCAAAGCCAGAGACAAAGCUUAAAUAGUUUCCUUUGGAGCUUGAGUAUCGCAUAACUUGCUUACUCAGUUUAGCUUGAUCUAUACAAAUAUGUAAAAUACUUAAUUAUACAUUUAUAUAUAGAUUUCUUGAUCACAAUUUGUUUGAGUUAAAUAUGUUUUCGUGGUUCUCACCAAAUGCUUGAACAAGCUGUGCCUGAAUUGCUUUAGUGCGGCUCAGUUAAACCAACAGGACCCUCAUUCUCUUGCCCACCCUGUGAUUGGGCCUUUCAUGAGCAGUUAAAGUUAGGUUUGAAAUUAAUAAAGCUAACCUUGAGCAUGCCCUUGUUCGCUCAGGAUUAUUUGUUCAAGCACAGGGUCUCCUACCCAAGAAAAUAGUGGAUGUUUUGAUGCAUAGGAGCUAUUAUGUAUUUUUGGUCAAUGAAAUUCUAAAAAUUAAACAUUUUAACUUAUUGCUGUGGGAGUGGGUGAGCAAGUAACUCUUUGGUUGUGAACAUGUAUUUGUUAUAAAACAUUAGGAAUAAACUGAAAUAAACCCAUUUAGUGAUUAAGCAACAAAAUAUCUAAUCAUUGUAAUAAUAAAAGGAAGAUGCUAAAUGUACAGUUAUGGGAGAGACAGACAACCUGAAUGGUAAAACUUUGUCUGCUAGCAAGCCCAAUAAGUCUCUCUGGGAUGGUAGGACCGUAGGAGUAUAGUAGGAAAGGUUGUUAAAUUAUUCAUAUUGGUUAAGUCAAAAUGGUGACUAUUGUACUUUCCACAUUGAGUUAGUUUUAUUAAUUUUAUUGGAAGGAAGUGGUGUGCUAUCUUAGUUUAAUUAUGUUUUAUGCUUUUCUGUCUAGUUAUAUUUGAAAUCUGCAGUGGAAGUUCCAUCUUUUUCCUAUCAAAAGUAGAUACUUGAUAUGUACUGGUUCUAAGUGAGUGGAUCUGUUAUGCUUCUUUAUUAGAUUUUAUUUCUGGUCGAUAGAUCCUUUAAAGUUGCACUGACAUUCAGUUUUCCUAUUUGACAGAUAUGGUAAUGCAAAUGUGUGGAAGAUUUUCACAGAUCUUUUUGACUAUUUUCCGUUGACAGCAUUGGUUCGUGCUCUGAACUUGUGGUGACAUUCCUCAGCAUGAUAACUUCAUUUUCCAGAUUUUCCACAAUGAUUUAUUUAGACUAUGUCCUUGUGUGAUUAUUCUUUUUUGUGCUAUGGACAAAGCGAUCAGUAAUUUCAAGCAUCCUAUCCAUCCAUUAUUUAAAUAUUAAACUGGUCCAUACCAGAAUGAUUCUUCUGCACGGUUGUCAAGCUUAUAAAUUAUAAUAGCUUGUUCGUGAUUUACAUUUCAUUGGGAAUGAGUUUUGGUGACUGAUGAGAUUGGUUUCCAGUGGGCCUAAGUGGCAUAGACCAAAGCAAUUGCACUAUAAUAAUUGUUUGGAAAUUCAAGGCUUAUUAUGUAAUGAGAAUUAGUUUAUUUUUGUUGAAAAGGAAUAAUGCUUAUCUUGUUUUUUUUAUCAGCACUAUUUUAUAGCAAUGAUAAUUGACAUGGCAUUACUUUUGCAGCUGUGGGCUGAGCGAUAUAUUCUCUUCUUCAAGGCUUUUUAAUAAUUCGUAUUGUUUGAGAACAAAUGGUGUAAGCAGCACAGGAAAUCAUGGUUUCAUUUUUAGCUGGGCCAGCUUUUCCAUAGUAUUAAGUAGAAGUACUAGCUACAAGUGUUGUUCUCAUCUGAAAUUUGUUGUGGUGACAGUGCCACAAUUUAUGCUGAAUUAUUCAAGUCCGCAUGUAGCAAUAUGGCUAUGCAUGAAGCUUGGGUCUUCCAGCUGGAAACUUCUACUUUGGGUGGUGUACCCACUUUGGAAAUUGCACCUGCUUUGUAGGUGUUCCUUUAUUCUAGUUUACUUGAGAGGCCAAUUUUCUGGUAUUGGCAUGAGAAUCCACUCUGAUGCAUGGUCCUUUUCGGCAACGAACGGUUAUAUAUGCAUGCAUCUAGGGCUGUCAAUGACUUGGGACAGCCUGGAUGAUGGAAGACCUGACGCAAAAAACUAGCACGCUCAGGUUUUAGGGCCAUUGGCUGGGCUUAGGCCUGAAAGUAGAGGCCCAAAUAUUUUUUGGGUUGAGUCCCGGCGGAAAAUUUGAUAAAAAAAUAAAUAGGGCCAGUUUUUGCACCUGGCCAGGCUUGAAAACAAGAAUUCUCCUAGUAGGGUCGGGCCAGUCUCGGGUCUGAUGUUUAAACUUCCACCUUGCUUAGGCUCAAGGCCCAACCCGCCAUUGAGAACCCUCGACCCGCCUAGGACAUUAUGCAGUAAAAUAUAAAAAUAAAACUUUUAUCUGUUGCUGUAGACUUCUAUACGAUGUUUGUUACUAAGUAGCUAAUAAUUAAGAGGAAUACACUGUUAGAAACUUAGAGGGCAGGAUGUUUUAUCUAGGGUGCUGCACCGACUUCAGAAUUUCUUUGGAAUGUAGCUGCCAUGCCUCCUUCCUGGGUCGGUUUACUAUAAAUGUUUCGUGAGAUCUCCACUCUGUCAUUUCUGCUUAAGAAAACUAAGCUGUGAGAGUUGAGGUUUGUUCCAACUAGAAAUUAGCUUAACUAAUUUCCAGUCUAAACACAGUUUUAACAUAAUUUUGGAUGCUUUGGCUGAAGCUCGUCCAAGAUAGGAACAUAUAACCAUAAAACUUUUGGUGCCAAAGAGAGAAAAAGAACUUGUUAUGUUUUGGUUACCUAUAGGUCUGCAAGUUGAUUUUGAUCAUACUAAACAUUUACUUUGAUCACUAUUUGGUGUACGAAGUGGUUAAAAAUGUUAAUUCCAUUCCUGUAACUGAUUUUUCAUGUAAAUACUGAUUUGAAUACAGUGACUGAUUAUUAUUUAUAUCGAUUUUGAUAUUUUUGCUGUUGUCAUGUAUGUGUAUUUGAUUACUAGCUUAUUUUUCUUAGCAUAACAUUGAAAAGGAAUGUACACCUAGAUUGUGGGUGAUGACUUUAUAAUGAUCUCUGUAUGAUAGCCAGUUUUGCAUUAGUGGCUAAGAAGUCUUGUUAUAUCAGAUGGUGCAAGAGUAUUAUCAUAAUGUUUUAAAGCUCACUACAGGAUGAAAACAAGAUAAUAUUUGUGCAUGUAUGCUGUGAUUAUGUGGAAGGAUAUACCUUUGAUACCAUAAGUUGGUUUAAGUUUGUUUCUUGCUUGUCUGUUCUAGAAAUCUGUUAAAAAAAAGUUUUUUUAUUUUAAAAUUAAUUUAAAAAAUGAGACUAUUGUAUCGGCUGUUGUCCUGUCUAAAAUUUGUCAAGGAAAUGGCUAUUUUCGUUAGGUGAUUUCACUUCUAGAUAGCACAUUACCUUUUUAAUAUUAUCUUUUGAUUAGAAGGGAUAAAUUUAUGAAGAAUACUGUUUAAAGGCCAAACUAUCUUUCAGAAUUAUAUCUUGACUUUGUCAAAUUGGCUAGCCAGCUUGCGGCCUUUAAUGCUUGAUUGGCUGUAAAUUCUGUAUACGCCAUUGGCUGACUUUAGAUUGACUAUUAGCAUCACUCUAAACAAUUUUACUGCUGCAUUUCUGAAGGUUGAAUCAGAAAUAUUUUGCCUUCAUGGUGGUCUGUCUCCACAUAUUGACACUCUCGAUGGUAUACGUAACUUUGAUCGUGUUCAAGAAGUUCCUCAUGAGGGUGCAAUGUGCGAUCUCCUAUGGUCUGACCCCGAUGACCGAUGUGGUUGGGGUAUUUCUCCUCGUGGUGCUGGAUAUACCUUUGGUCAAGUACAUGACUGACUUCUUAUCUUUCGUAAUGUAUGUUUGAAAUUAAUCCAUGUUUUCAUUCAUUCUAUUUGGUUAAUGUCAGGAUAUAUCAGAGCAAUUCAAUCAUACCAACAACCUUAAACUAAUAGCUAGAGCUCAUCAAUUAGUCAUGGAGGGAUAUAACUGGGGACAUGUAUGUAUUUGUUCUUUGUUUUGUUUAGUUUCUUCUUUUGUGCUAGCCGUUCCAUUUAGUUUGUUCUUUUAUGCUAGCCGUUCUUUAGGUCCAAUUGUAUUCUUAUCAUAUUCUUAUUGAACAGGAACAAAAGGUGGUAACCAUAUUUAGUGCACCUAACUAUUGCUACCGAUGCGGGAACAUGGCAUCCAUCUUGGAAGUUGAUGACUGCAAAGGACACACAUUUAUCCAGGUCUUGCUCUUUCCAUCCAUCCCUCACUCUAUACAUCUUGUUGUUUCAUUUAGUCCUUUUUUCUCCUCAAAUUAUCUGUGUGGAUGAUGGAUGCUAACACUUGUUAACUUUUUGUCUCUGACCUGGUCAAUGUUUACUAACAGAUGUAAGCACCUACCAACAUAAACCUGUUUUUCAGAAAAAUAAUUGUUUAUUGAUUCAAGUUUCCAAAUGAUGUAUUGGUCUUUUUUCUUCAGAGGACUAAGUCAUGUGAUUGACUUUAUUUUCAGAUACGAUAAUUUUUGAAACCUUUGAUUGGAACUAAAAGAAAGGAAGACUGAGAAUUUUGGAUCUGCUGACUUUUGAACCUUUUAAUUAGAUUUGAUUUAAAUUUUGUAGAUUGUAACAUAAAAAAAUUAGAGGAAAUAAGAAAGAAAGAUAUAUGGGGUGGGGGGAGAGCAUUUUAAAGAUAAAUCUCAUUGAAGUGCUGUUACACAUCAUUAAAAUGAAUAAAAUUUGUAUGAAGCAACUGGAAACAAGUUCAGAAAAUGAUAAUCUCGAAACUAUGGUACGUCGUACGGGCCCGAACCGGGCGGUACGGGGCAUAUCGUACUAUACUGGUUCGAUACUAGCACCUGGUAUGGGUGGCGUACUGACACUCGGUAUACCAAAAAAAUUCUGUACUACACCAUACCAACACUGCUAGUGUGGCACUGGUACAGGGUCCGGUACUGAGAUGGCGAAUCUUGCUCAGAACAGAUAAUCUAAACUAGUGAUAAUUUUAUGGGAUCAUAUAUUAGGCAAUAGCGCUUAAGAUUCCCUAGUAUAGAGCUAUGUAAGUACCCUGAAGUUGCUUCCUUUGCGACAUGAACAUCGGAUUUAGUGCAAUUGGUGCCCUUUUCUCUCCUAUGUCAAUACCUGUACCUCAAGCCUAUUGUAUGAGACCAUGUUAGGUUACACAAUAUUAAAAAAAUGGAGCAAGAUAAUUUAUUCUAAAUAAGUUAUGCAAAGAUUUUACUCAAAUUGUUGUCUAGUUGAGAAUGCUUUAGUUGGAGUAGCUAAAUCUUUAUUUGGUUACUAAGGUUGAAUGUCCCCAAAUCUGAAAUAAAGUGAUCUUUCCUUCUGGAAGCACGGGUUUACCCUUCAGAUCUGAUCAAGCAACAAGACUAAGUUCAAUGGCCUGAUGCAUGAGUUAGCACCAGAUGAAUAUGUAAUAGAGCUUUAUUAAUUAAUAUGUAGAAUAUAUUUAUAACCAUAAUCAUAAUUGUAAGCAUUAAGCCUUACCCUAAACUGAUUUGGCUUUAUGAAUAUCUAUCACUAAGAACUCCUAUAACGGCCUUUAAUGUUAUUUCAAGCUUUUCUAUAUACUUUAUCUUAAUAGUAAAGCAUAUACAUUAUUAUAAUAUUAAGUAUAGUUUCCAAUAGUUGCAUCAAUGGAUUUGUCGAGGUUUACCAGAUCUAACCGCCUGGUUCACUCAGUGCUAUUUUGUACCAACAACGAACCGGGAUGAUUUGUGGUCUUAGUCCAAGUUUGUGCCCAAACUAGUGUGAACUAGUCCAUACCAGGCCGAACCACUCAGAACCGAGCAAUUUUUAGGGAAAAAGGGCCCAAUGCCCUUAGCUCUCUUUGUUUCAAGGUAAAGAUAGAAGGAAAGGAAAGAGAGAGGGAGAGAGUGGAAGGGUAAUUUAUGCCAAAAUUUUGUUUUUUGGCAUGAUUUGUGAUAUGUUGGAGAUCUUAGUGAGAUCUAUGCAAUAGUAUAGGCUUUUUGAUUUUUUUAUGUUUAUUUGAUUUUUUAUUUAAAAAAAUAUUUUUGGAAAAACUAAUAUAAAAGAAAAAAAGGAGUUGUUAGGUUCCAAAAUUAAAGUGUAUUGUAUUAAAUAUCAGAAAAAACCCUAUUUUUCACUCAAAAAAACUAAAUAAAGGAAACUUAUUAAUGUCGAAACCAAUUUUUUUUGGGUAUAUCAUAUGGUUAAGUAUGAUGGUGUGGUAUUGGUCUGCUACUAGUAUGCGGUCUUGUAUCGAGACUGUGAACCUUGGCUAUAAUAUUAUUAUAACAUGUACUACAUUAUUUAUCAUAUUAUGUAUGCUAUUUAACUUAUCCUAAAAUUAUUAUUAUACAUUAUUGUUAUUGUUUGUUUUUUUUGUUAUUUCUUACAGCCAAAUUAGGAUCCACAACACCAGUCCCAAAAUGGUGGGACCAAGGUGGAUGACAUGGUUACUUCUGGUUAUUUUGUACAUAAUAAAGGGAAAUGAGGAAUGCAGAAGAGAAAUCUCUUCAUGGGAUUGGGAAUUGGCUGGGCAGGCAUAAGAAAUUGGGAUAAAUUUGAGAGAUUCUAUUCAAAUUAGCAGAUGGAAUAGCACUAAACCACUGAAAUAAGCAAUUAUUUUUCUACCUCCUGUUUUCAAAACCUCUGAAAAUUCAUUUCCAGGAAAAAAGAAUAAAUAUAUCCCAAAACACAAUUUUCUUGUCGCCUUUAUUUAGGCUCUGAAGAGAGGUCCUAUGAAAUUGUUUGGAGGCUAAGUGAUGGAACUAAAUUAAGAGAGGCAUAUGCAGGGUGAAUAGUGAGGCUUGUACAAGGUGCAUAAUUUGUACUGAUACCAUUGAUGAGGGGCAUUAAAAUUAUGCCUUGGAUACUUUAAUUUCCAUUCAAUGAAGUGCUUAGUUCUUUUAUAUGUUCUGAAUGAUAUUUUAUGUGAACUUAGUUUGGUAAAAUGUCUAACUUUGUACCCUUGAUUUUACAUAAUGCCAAAGUAGGCAAUAGUUUGAUAAUUUUUUCCCAAGUUUUGUGUGGAUUUUGUUAUUUUUUAUGUACAUUUCUUAUUUCUUGCUCUUCUUGCACAUUGAAUUCUUUGUUUUCCUUCAGUCUUUGGUUUUGUCGGAAAAUCCUUAACUUCUUCAUUGCACCUUGGCUCAUUAAAGAACCAAACACCUCGCGUUAGAUAUCCUUUUUUUCUAAAUAAUGAAUUUAAAAAAAGUAGAAAAUAAACUUGAAUAUUAAUUUUAUUUAAGUAUGUAGGACUCACGAUCUUCAAUUAGGCCUUAGGUGCUGGUUUAAAUGCUUGGAUUGUUAUUCGUUUAUGUGAUUAUCCAGAAUUGCAUGUUGAGGUGAUUUUGUUUUGUGUCAUACUUGUCAUUCCUUUCAUACCGAACCACCUCUCUUUGCAUUGGAACCCAAACCUGAAGCGAACUGUUUUAGCUACCCUCACAUAACAUGUUUUGGUCAAAACAGUUGUUUUGCAGAAACAUUUGGAAUCUAGAAAUAUUAAAUGAGAACCUGCCCACCAAAACAUGGUCACCCUUUUCCAUAAGGCAUGUAGUCCACGUAUUUUGUAGUCGAUGUUACAGUUGCUUGUUGAUGCACAGGUUGGCUCAGACCUACCCAGGUGCUUCAUUGUGUCAAAAUUGCUGUACUAGUUUUUUGUUGCAUUUCGCUCGAGUAUUGAGGUUGUGUAGGUGGCCUGCUCUGCCACCUUUAUUAUAAUGAUCUUGGAUGCUGCACAUUUUCUUCCUAUUGCUUUGGUUUCAAAAGAUGGAUGUGUUUGUUAAAACAAAAGAGAGAAAAAAAAAGAUCAGGGUUCAAUCAUAUCACUUUAUUUCUGCUAUUUGAGUUAAUAUGUUUUGCCUUUCAUUUUCUAGUUAGCUGGUUGACUAUUGAAAACACACAAAGUUAUCUCAGAUAUCUCUGUACCUUUCUUUUUCUUUUCCCCCCUCCCCACACAUAUGGAACGCAAUUGGACACAUUCUUUUUAAAUGUCUGGUCUGAAACCAAGACUUCACCGACAACUCAGUAAAAGGCCAUCA
rnacentral:lncRNA from 1 species